GCACCGCACUCUGGAGAGCGGUAGUAGCAGCCGUGCGCGUGCAAACGCAGCGGCGCAAGCUACCCACCGAAGGGGCGCGCGCCGAUGCGUGGCAGGCAAGCCGCGCGGCGCAAUCUCUCAGGUACCGAGGACAGAGGGGUCAUG
rnacentral:ncRNA from 2 species